GGGGCUGUAGCUCAGUGGUAGAGUGGAAGAUUGCAAAUCUUUAGGUCGCCGGUUCGAACCCGGCCAGUCCCU
rnacentral:tRNA from 3 species